UCAAGCUGUAAAGGGCGCAAGGGGAAUGCCUUGGCACUGAGAGCCGACGAAGGACGCGACAAGCUGCGAUAAGCUACGGGGAGCCGCAAAUGGGCUUUGAUCCGUAGAUUUCCGAAUGGGGAAACCCGGCAGAGCAAUACUCUGUCAACGUGCACUGAAUACAUAGGUGUACGUGGGGAACCGCCUGAACUGAAACAUCUAAGUAGGGCGAGGAAGAGAAAUCAACCGAGAUUCCGCUAGUAGUGGCGAGCGAACGCGGAAGAGGCCAAACCAAGAGUAGUAAUACUUUUGGGGUUUUGGACAGCGUACGGUAUUAACUGCGGUUAGUAGAAUGAAAUGGGAAGUUCAACCACAGAGCGUGAUAGUCGCGUACACGAAAACUAAAGUUAGCCAGCUGGAUCCAGAGUACCGCCGGACACGUGAAACCCGGUGGGAAGACGGGGGGACCACCCUCCAAGCCUAAAUACUCUCCAAUGACCGAUAGUGUAUAGUACUGUGAAGGAAAGGUGAAAAGAACCCCUGGCGGGGAGUGAAAUAGAACCUGAAACCUUGUGCCUACAAGCACAUAGAGCGCGUCAAUGCGUGAUAUGGUACCUUUUGUAGAAUGGUCCGGCGAGUGAAUGUCACUGGCAAGGUUAAGCUCUUCAGGAGUGCAGCCGAAGCGAAAGCGAGUCUGAAAUGGGCGUUUUAGUCAGUGGUAUUCGACCCGAAACCGGGUGACCUAGCCAUGAGCAGGCUGAAGUGGAGGUAAAACUCCAUGGAGGGCCGAACCCACUCCCGUUGAAAUGGUAGGGGAUGACUUGUGGCUAGCGGAGAAAUUCCAAUCGAACCCGGAGAUAGCUGGUUCUCUCCGAAAUAGCUUUAGGGCUAGCCUCAAUUAACAUUACCGCAGGUAAAGCACUGAAUGAGCUAGGGGGCGAAAGCUUACUGAACUCUAUCAAACUCAGAAUGGCGGAUAAUGAAUGAUUGGGAGUCACACUACGUGAGAUAAGUUUCGUGGUGGAAAGGGAAACAGCCCAGACCCACAGCUAAGGUCCCAAAGUACAGUUAAGUGGAAAAGGAUGUGAAAUUGCGCAGACAACCAGGAUGUUGGCUCAGAAGCAGCCACUCAUUCAAAGAGUGCGUAAUAGCUCACUGGUCGAGUGAUUUUGCGCCGAAAAUUUAACGGGGCUAAACUGUACACCGAAGCUUGGGAAUAUACAUUUGUAUGUUGGUAGGAGAGCGUUGUGUAAGGGGUGAAGUCGUAGCGAAAGCGGCGGUGGACUUUACACAAGUGAGAAUGCCGGAAUGAGUAGCGAGAAUUAUGUGAGAAUCAUAAUGGCCGAAAGACUAAGGUUUUAGAAGGAAGGUUCGUCCGCUUCUAGUUAGCCGGGAGCUAAGGCGAGGCCGAGAGGCGUAGUCGAUGCACAUACGGUUGAGAUUCCGUAGCUACCUUGCAUUUAAGCGAAGGGACACAUUUGAAGGGCAUGACCCGGGCGUUGGUUGACCCGGGCGUAAGGGACCGAAAAUAAGUAGGGAAGCAUGCUUGGAUGGUGGCGAGAAAAGCUUCGUGUAUAUAAGCAGGGUACCCGUACUGCAAACCGACACAGGUAGUCAGGAAGAGGAUUCUAAGGCCAUCGGGAGAAGCGUUGUUAAGGAACUCGGCAAAUUGACCCCGUAACUUCGGAAUAAGGGGUGCUCACGCGAGUGAGCCGCAGUGAAUAGGUCCAGGCAACUGUUUAUCAAAAACACAGCUCUCUGCUAAAUCGUAAGAUGACGUAUAGGGGGUGACACCUGCCCGGUGCUGGAAGGUUAAGAGGAGGGGUGCAAGCUCCGAAUUGAAGCCCCAGUAAACGGCGGCCGUAACUAUAACGGUCCUAAGGUAGCGAAAUUCCUUGUCGGGUAAGUUCC
rnacentral:rRNA from 1 species